AAAAAUUAUGCAAAGGACAAGCAUGAUUUGUCUAGUUUUGGCUGGAGAAAGGCAAGCUCCAUGAGUAUCUUGUGUGCACACAUUAUUUUGAUGUUGACGAGGGGAAAGAAGACAAUCAAGUAUCACAUGACUCAUUGAAGGGAGAUAAGCCAGCUCAAUUUGAAUCCUCGAUUAGAAAGGUAAGAUGGGCAUGCCACUGCAGUCAAGGUUGCAACACUAUAGGUUAGGCUUGAAUCAUUAUUGCUGUCUAGAGCUACUUUAUAUUGUUUUUCCAAACAUAUUGUAAUACUGUUUUGAUUUAUCUUCCUCUUUGCCAAGAAUAUUGUAAUGCUGUUUUGAUAUGCAUAUCAGAAUAUGUUUUAAUUUGUAUUUUGGAUGGAUUAGUAUUAAUUAUUAUGAUGUUUUGUAUUUUGGAUUACAAUGUGGUUGUACUUUAAUGACAUUAUUACUAUA